rnacentral:rRNA from 1 species
GAAGGGACCUAGCGUAGUUCGGAAUUACUGGGCUUAAAGAGUUCGUAGGUGGUUAAAAAAGUUGGUGGUGAAAUCCCAGAGCUUAACUCUGGAACUGCCAUCAAAACUUUUUAGCUAGAGUAUGAUAGAGGAAAGCAGAAUUUCUAGUGUAGAGGUGAAAUUCGUAGAUAUUAGAAAGAAUACCAAUUGCGAAGGCAGCUUUCUGGAUCAUUACUGACACUGAGGAACG